UACGAAGGGUGCAAACGUUGCUCGGAAUCAUUGGGCGUAAAGCGCACGUAGGCGGCCUGUUAAGUCGGAUGUGAAAUCCCUCGGCUCAACCGAGGACGUGCAUUCGAAACUGGCAGGCUCGAGUAUGGAAGAGGGUCGCGGAAUUCCCGGUGUAGAGGUGAAAUUCGUAGAUAUCGGGAGGAACACCAGUGGCGAAGGCGGCUCACUGGCCCGGUUCUGACGCUGAGGUGCGAAAGCGUGGGGAGCAAACAGG
rnacentral:rRNA from 1 species